GCUCCAGUAGCUCAGGGGACAGAGCAUCCGCCUUCUAAGCGGCAGGUCGCAGGUUCGAAUCCUGCCUGGGGCG
rnacentral:tRNA from 2 species